UACUCUAAGGAGGAAGAAAAGCUGAUCGUUGAGCUCAUUCGUUCCUUCUCUGUUCCUCCAGGGAAAAAUCUUGCCCAUCAGGUUUACUUUUCUCCCUCUUUUAUUUUCAUCGCGAAUUUGGGGACAUUUUAUUUAUUUUUCUCGUGGACUUCAUUUUGGUGGUCAAAUGCUUGAGAGCGAUACGUAAUCUGUUUUUGAUGUGCUCAAUCAGGUGAAUUAUGCAUAUAAAAGGACGAUUUAGUUAGGAAUUUGCUUUAGUUAUUACUAAAUUCUUGGUUUUAUUACCUCAUAUUGGCAAUUUUACAGCUGCUAAGUUUUUUUUCUUAAUAUUUUAAAUUCUAAAUCCUAUUAAUGAGUACCUGCAACGCCAAUUUAUAGCUACAAGCUUGGCAGUUUUAUCAUGAACACGUAAAGGAUGAUUGUGGUUCCGUUUAUUUGUCUCUUGAUUACCAACAAUUUCGAAAUUCAUGUGAUAUUGAAGAAUUCUACGCAAAAUUGGAAGAUAAACCUAAAAUAGCUCUUUCCACCAUGAGUGCUGCUAUUCACCAGGUUUUAUUAAACAAUCCGGAUUUCUACUUGGAGGAAGGAACGAAGAUUAAUAUCCGUCUGCACAACUACCCUGAAUCCAUGAUUGUUUUGAAGAACUUAAAGGCAGCAUAUAGUGACAAACUGGUAUCUGUGAGGGGUACAGUGGUAAAGGCUAGCACUGUCAAGCCUCUUGUAAUUAAAAUGACUU